rnacentral:rRNA from 1 species
AUUGAACGCUGGCGGCAGGCCUAACACAUGCAAGUCGAGCGGAGCGGCGGACGGGUGAGUAAUGCAUAGGACUCUGCCUGGUAGUGGGUGAUAACGUCCGGAAACGGGCGCUAAUACCGCAUCCUCUCAGAUGAGCCUAGGUCGGAUUAGCUUGUUGUUGGGGUAAAGGCCCACAAAGGCGACGAUCCGUAACUGGUAUGAGAGGAUGAUACGUCACACUGGAACUGAGACACGGUCCAGACUCCUACGGGAGGCAGCAGUGGGGAAUAUUGGACAAUGGGCGAAAGCCUGAUCCAGCCAUGCCGCGUGUGUGAAGAAGGUCUUCGGAUUGUAAAGCACUUUAAGUUGGGAGGCGUUACCAACAGAAUAAGCACCGGCUGACUUCGUGCCAGCCGCCGCGGUAAUAC